AGAGUUUGAUCAUGGCUCAGGAUAAACGCUGGCGGCGCACAUAAGACAUGCAAGUCGAACGGACUUAAUCGAUUCUUUUAGUUUCGAAGAGGUUAGUGGCGGACUGGUGAGUAACGCGUGAGCAACCUGCCUAUCAGAGGGGAAUAACAGUGAGAAAUCAUUGCUAAUACCGCAUAAGCUAGUAGUAUCGCAUGAUACAGCUAGAAAAGGAGCAAUCCGCUGAUAGAUGGGCUCGCGUCUGAUUAGCUAGUUGGUGGGGCAAUGGCCUACCAAGGCGACGAUCAGUAGCCGGACUGAGAGGUUGAACGGCCACAUUGGGACUGAGAUACGGCCCAGACUCCUACGGGAGGCAGCAGUCGGGAAUAUUGCGCAAUGGAGGAAACUCUGACGCAGUGACGCCGCGUAUAGGAAGAAGGUUUUCGGAUUGUAAACUAUUGUCAUCAGGGAAGAUAAAAGACAGUACCUGAGGAGGAAGCUCCGGCUAACUAUGUGCCAGCAGCCGCGGUAAUACAUAGGGAGCAAGCGUUAUCCGGAUUUAUUGGGUGUAAAGGGUGCGUAGACGGGAGAGCAAGUUGGUUGUGAAAUCCCUCGGCUUAACUGAGGAACUGCAACCAAAACUGUCCUUCUUGAGUGUCGGAGAGGAAAGUGGAAUUCCUAGUGUAGCGGUGAAAUGCGUAGAUAUUAGGAGGAACACCAGUGGCGAAGGCGACUUUCUGGACGACAACUGACGUUGAGGCACGAAAGUGUGGGGAGCAAACAGGAUUAGAUACCCUGGUAGUCCACACUGUAAACGAUGGAUA
rnacentral:rRNA from 1 species